GAUGAACGCUAGCGGCAGGCUUAACACAUGCAAGUCGAGGGGCAGCGCGGGAUAGCAAUAUCCUGGCGGCGACCGGCGGAAGGGUGCGUAACGCGUGAGCGACAUGCCCGUUGCCCGGGGACAACCGGUGGAAACGCCGACUAAUCCCCGAUGGGAUAUUGUGCCGCAUGGCACGAUAUUGAAAGUUACGGCGGCGACGGAUUGGCUCGGGUCCGAUUAGCUGGUUGGCGGGGUAACGGCCCACCAAGGCUGCGAUCGGUAGGGGUUCUGAGAGGAAGGCCCCCCACAAUGGGACUGAGACACGGCCCAUACUCCGACGGGAGGCAGCAGUGAGGAAUAUUGGUCAAUGGGCGGAAGCCUGAACCAGCCAUGCCGCGUGCGGGAAGGAGGCCCUAUGGGCUGUGAACCGCUUUUGCCUGGGGGCAAUAAGGGCGUCGCGCACGUCCGAUGAGAGUACCAGGCGAAUAAGCAUCGGCUAACUCCGUG
rnacentral:rRNA from 1 species